AGAAUUUACCCAAUUAUUUUUCGCCUUAGCAAUUUGCGGAAAUACGCUAUAUAGUUGUACAGUUAUGACUGUGUAUUUUUGGGCUUAAGAAUUCAAAGGUUCGACUACUCACGUACACCAAUUCCAAAUAUAUUACCCAUUUCUGCACCGGAGACAACGAUGAUUCGGUUCGCUGUCAGUGCAUGUUUCCUCCUAGCGCUUUCGAUCCUGGCCGUCCCCGAUGGCCGGAAUUGAUCAAGCUGCCGUCUGAAGCUCGCAAAGUCUUUGGCCGCUUUGAGGACAAGAACGGUGGAGCCAAUGAGGAUGCCCUGGAGACCAAAUGGGCCGUCCUCCUAGCUGGUUCCACCGGUUACUGGAAUUACCGGCACGGCGGCACCAGGGGAUUAACCUUCUAAGACACAUAUUUAUUAAAUUCUUUAUGAUUGAAAUUAAAUGCUUUCUUUAUUUUUAUUUUUUUGGCUGAAUUUUGAUUUUAUAAUUCUGUUUAGAAUCACACAGUUUCUCAUUUAUGUUUAAAGGAUUCUCUUUUUGGUUUUUGUUGUGCUUUUUCUCGAAAGAGAGUGAAUUUGUCAUAGUUCAACUUUAUAAAAAUCUUGGUAUUUUCUGUAAAGUCCGUAGCUAAAAUAAUCUCCAUAAUUUGGGGUGGGGUGGGGUAUACACUACUUAGAUUUCGUUCCAUACUUAGGUCUAAGACGUCAAGAUUUCAAAUUUGGUUGUUAAGAAGUCUAUCAAGUACAAGAGGACCAAUUUAUAUGUUUAUCUGGAAUUCUGUUACAAGUGAAGAAGGGUGUGGUUUCCUUACACAGUUUACGCAUAUAUAUAGUAGUAAUCUAGAAUUGAAAAAAGAAGUUGGCAAUUUAUCUUACCAAAAGAAACUGAAAAUGAUCUUAUGUUAGGUAUAGUUAUCUUUGACAUGAUGUACGUAAUUGUUGGAUUAGGAAGUUCACUGGCUCACAGAAUUUUAUAAUUUAUUUUGUUUGCAAUCGUCAUUUCUUUUUGACAGCUGACGAAAAUGAGUAACAUAAUGCCAUUAUGCUAUUGCAUUUCUAAUCCAUUUACAUCUUUUUUGAAGAUAUAUGAUACAGCAUCCUCAUUUGUUUGGUCUUGCUUUGUUUUGUUUUAUGUGAGGAGGACAACUAUUUUAGCUUCAUCGCAUUCAUAGAAACAAAUGGCAUUCACAUUGGACCUAUGAGUCUUUUCUUUUUCUUUUCUCUUUUUUCAUUGAAGAUUAUAAUCGGCCACUUUACAUGCCUGCAAGGGUAUUUAAAAAUCAAAAUUCUUGGGGCAUGAAGAUUCUAAUGAUAUGAAAAUAUUUACACAUUUCUCUUCACUUCAAGUGUGAUGUGCAGAAAGAAGAGUAAACAGAAAUUAAAGAAAAAUUGAUGAGUUUCUAAGAAAUUUAAAAUUGAGUUCCUACUAACAAUCCCAUAAUCAUUAUGACCCUAUGCAAGGACUGGGAAAAGAUGAGCCGAGUUUUUUUAUAUUCAGCGUCAUUUAUGUCCUUAAUCUAUGUUGACAAACUUUAUUGCUAUUGUUUAAUCAUAUUUCAUGGUUUCUAUAAUAAUAUGCUUAGUCUUACACGCAACCUGUAGAGAUGAAAGGGGUUCUAUACGAUAUCUAGAUAUAAUCAUCUUUGUAAUUUUCAUUUCACAAUCAAUAUGAUAUAGGGAUUUUACUUUUGUACUAGGCGGAUUUAUGCCAUGCAUAUAAAAUCCUCAAGAGAGGUGGUCUCUAAGAUGAAAAUGUCAUCAUUUUCAUGUAUGAUGACAUUGCUCAAAGUGAAGAGAACCCUAGGCCUGGAGUCAUCAUUAAUAACCCUCAUGGAGAGGAUGUUUAUAAAGGAGUUCCUAAGACCAGGAUUAUGUCGACAACUUUUUCGCUGUGAUCCUUGGGAACAGAAUUGCACUCACAGGAGGUAGCAGAAAAGUUGUAGAUAGCGGUCCGAAUGAUCAUAUUUUCAUAUACUAUGGUGAUCAUGGUGGUCCUGGAGUGCUUGGUUUUUUACCUUGAAGCUUGUGAGUCUGGAAGUAUUUUUGAUUGUCUUCUUCCUGAAGCCUUGAAUAUAUAUGCAACCAAUGCAUCAAAUGCGGAAGAGAGCAGCUGGGAACCUACUGCCCACACAGGGGCGUAGGAAGAGGGGGGCAGCCCAGCCCAGCCCUUCCCCCCAAGGCCUAUUUAAUUUUAAUGUAAAAAACUAUAUAUUUCUUUGCAUUUUUAUUUUUAUUUUUUUUAUGUAGCAGCCCAGUAGAAUUUUUUUUUUUUUUGCCCCUCCUGGCUCCGCCCAGGCGACUAUCUGGGUCCUCCCCCUGAAUAUGAAACCAGCUUGGGUUACUUGCAUAGUGUUGCUUCGAUGGAGGACAGGUCAGAAGAACUGCUAAUCAAAAUUCUUUUUGUGGCUCCCAUGUCAUGCAAUAUGGUGACUUAAAGCUAAGUGCGGAGAAUCUUUUCCUGCACUCGUGUAUGUAUCCUGCUAAUGAUAACCAGAGUUUUGUGGACAACAAUGCAGUGCAGCUAUCUUCGAAAGCUGUUUACCAGCCUGAUGCUAAUCUUUUACAUUUCUGGCAUAAGUUCAUCAAGGCUCCUGAAGGCUCUCUUAGGAAAUUUGAAGCUCAAAAGGAGCUUGCUGAUGCUAUGACACACAGAACGCACAUUGACAGUAGUAUCAAACUGAUAGGCUCCAAUCCACCUCAUGCAUUCUAGAAGGACCUAGAAGAAGAAUAACCUGCAAAUUGGUGGAAAACUAGUUUGUUAGAGAGUAAAGAUGGGAGGGGAUAACAAUUACAAGUAGCUUAUAAAUAAAGAAGGGGGAGAGGAUGGGGAGGCAAAAAUAGUAAGUGAAAACCAUAUUGUGGAGAGUACAAUCCUCUCGAAAGGCUGAUUGUAUUUUCAUUCUGUUUUCUGUAAUUCAAUUUCCAUCAUUACGCAUCAUAAUUUAUGUUCC